CCCUUAGAUGUCCUGGGCUGCACGCGCGCUACACUGGAAGUUACGGAUUGAGAUACUACCUUGUCCGAAAUGGUCCGGGUAAUCACCUAAAAGCUUGUCAUAAUUGGAAUGGAUUAUUGUAACUAGUAAUCCUGAACGAGGAAUUCCUAGUAAGUCCCAGUCAACAGCUGGUACUGAUUACGUCCCUGCCCUUUGUACACACCGCCCGUCGCUACUACUGAUUGGACGUUUAAGCAAGAUUUUUAAACACUGACAGUGUGUAGUUCACGCUAUACUACAGUGAGAAGAAGAAGAUCGAGCUUACUUGUCUAGAGGAAGUAAAAGGCGUAACA
rnacentral:rRNA from 1 species